UACGUAGGGGGCUAGCGUUGUCCGGAAUCAUUGGGCGUAAAGCGCGCGUAGGCGGCCCGGUAAGUCCGCUGUGAAAUCCAGAUGGCUCAACCUCUGGCUGCCAGUGGAUACUGCCGGGCUAGAGUACGGAAGAGGCGAGUGGAAUUCCUGGUGUAGCGGUGGAAUGCGCAGAUAUCAGGAGGAACACCAAUGGCGAAGGCAGCUCGCUGGGACGUAACUGACGCUGAGGCGCGAAAGCGUGGGGAGCGAACAGG
rnacentral:rRNA from 1 species